rnacentral:rRNA from 1 species
CAGUAGCCACGGGAAUACGAAGGGGGCUAGCGUUGUUCGGAUUUACUGGGCGUAAAGCGCACGUAGGCGGAUCGAUCAGUCAGGGGUGAAAUCCCAGAGCUCAACUCUGGAACUGCCUUUGAUACUGUCGAUCCGGAGUAUGGAAGAGGUGAGUGGAAUUCCGAGUGUAGAGGUGAAAUUCGUAGAUAUUCGGAGGAACACCAGUGGCGAAGGCGGCUCACUGGUCCAUUACUGACGCUGAGGUGCGAAAGCGUGGGGAGCAAACAGGAUUAGAUACCCGCGUAGUCCCUGUCUCUUAUAC